NGCUACUCACAACACAUCUCCUGAAUGCAACUCACACACUUU
rnacentral:tRNA from 1 species